CCUACGGGAGGCAGCAGUAGGGAAUAUUGCUCAAUGGGGGAAACCCUGAAGCAGCAACGCCGCGUGGAGGAUGAAGGUUUUAGGAUUUUAAACUCCCUUUGGUAGAGAAGAUAAUGACGGUAUCCCACGAAUAAUCACCGGCUAACUCCGUGCCAGCUGCCGCGGCAAUACGGAGGGUGCAAGCGUUACUCGGAAUCACUGGGCGUAAAGAGUGCGCAGGCGGGCGUGUAAGUCAGAUGUGAAAUCCUGUAGCUUAAAUUCAGAACUGCAUUUGAAACUAUGAGUCUAGAGUGUGGGAGCGGUAGGUGGAAUGCUUGGUGUAGCGGUAAAAUGCGUAGAUAUCAAGAGGAAUACUGAUUGCGAAGGCGACCUACUGGAACAUUACUGACGCUCAUGCACGAAAGCGUGGGGAGCAAACAGGAUUAGAUACCCGUGUAGUC
rnacentral:rRNA from 1 species